AGACGUAGGGGGCGAGCGUUGUCCGGAAUUACUGGGCGUAAAGAGCACGUAGGCGGGAACUUAAGUCAGGUGUGAAAGACCGGGGCUCAACUCCGGGGUUGCACUUGAAACUGGGUUUCUUGAGGGCAGGAGAGGAAAGCAGAAUUCCUGGUGUAGCGGUGAAAUGCGUAGAAAUCAGGAGGAAUACCAGUGGCGAAGGCGGCUUUCUGGACUGACCCUGACGCUGAGGUGCGAAAGCGUGGGUAGC
rnacentral:rRNA from 1 species